ACCUGAGCUGAAAUCAAGAGUCAGAUGGUUAACUGACUGAGCCACCCAGGCAGCCCUAUAUUCAUAUAAUUUGUAUGUUUGUAUCAAUGAUAUAUAUUCUAUGUGCUUCUAUUAGUACUUUUUUUAACCUAAACUUUAUAUUUUUCACAGUUUAAUUCUAUUUUGUGAGAUUUCUUGCCUUUUCCAAAGCAUGAAGAACUAUUUGGGGCCUGUCUUUAUAAUUCCACUUUUUUUUUGGCUAAUAUUCCAAACUAACAUAAUCUCAUUAUUGAGUCCUCUAGACCUGAAGUAAAAUAGGGCAAUAUUCUAGCUGUGUGUCCUUGGGAAAGUUACUUAACCUCUCUCUGCCUCUGAUGCUUAUCAUAUUUGUUUGUAUAAGGAUUAAAUGAAAUUAAAAAAAAAAAAAAGCUUGGUGCCUGGCAAAUUGUAAGCCGCUGAUCAAUGUUAAUUCCAUUUUAUGAUUGCAUGGCCAUUAUGCGGGCCUCCUCCAGAGCCCCCGACACACUGAAGCAGAGAGAGAGUUCUCUCCUCAGUCUUCUUUGUAGGCCUUCUGGACACAGUGACAACAUCCCAGCUAUUCUUGUUUUGGACUUGAGUUUUGGAGUCAGUCUACCACGGCCUCUCUUGCUUGUCAGAGGUCUUAUAUAAGGAGACCACAUGUCUUGUCCCCUCUUCUCUCUCUUCCUGUGUAGAUGGGACAUCAUUAGAACUGAGAAGAUUAAACCACCCUUGAUAAUACAUACUGCCUGAGAAAGAAACUCAGUAAAUUACUUUGAGAUCAGGAAGCAGACUAAAAGGGAUUAAAUACCUGCAGAAGAUCAAUUUGCAAGCGAUGGAACUUUGAUUCAGUCCCGGUAGUCUGACUCCGGAACCAGAACUGGGGCUAGGGCAGGUCGCCUUAUCCAACCAGCAGCAAACCAGUCAGCAGCCUGAAGCAAAAUGGUGUGAGAACAACUUUCUAAUGACAGCCAUCCUAAAUGUCACAUGCUGUUUGCCCAGGACACCCUGGACCUGAUGUGGACUCAUACUGUCAGGGGCUUGUCCCCUGGUAAGUUCUGAAGCUUCUUCUCCCAGGAGAGCUGUGCAGUCACUGCUGGAAGACAGGCCGGCCACCCUUGAGCUACAUUGUCAAGUGACUUUGAAAACUAGCGCACGGGUCUUGUUUCCUUUCCUCACUUCUGGGUAAGAGCCCCCAAAGCUUGUCCCUGUGUUUCUGCUACUUGUGAGGUGGAAGGUUUUUCUAAGUUUGGUAAAGCCAAGUUCAGCUUUUAACAUUUGAAAGGCGGUCCGCUGGGCUUUAAGUCCCAAGUAAAGCUUCCUCAUCAAGGCCUUUAAUUCAUACAAUGGUUUGGCUAAGAGCCCAAAUCCAGGAAUCUGAGGGCAGCAAAAAAUCUGCCAUACUUAGGAAAGUGCGGGGUUGUUUUUCUUUAGGUUGGGGUACAAGAUCUAAUAUAGCCUUUUUCCUGUCAUUAGAUGGGGUACGGUGACCUGGUGUUAGCGCAUUUCCCAAAUAUUGUACUUUCUGUUUAUAUAUUUGCACCUUUUUAGGGGAGACGUGAUACCCUCUGUCUGCUAAGAAAGUAAGUAAACUUAUAGAAUUGUUAUCAGACAUUUCUUUUGUGGGACUACAGAUUAAAAUAUCAUCCACAUAUUGAACUAUAGUCCCUCGAGGCAGGGAGAUAUCACCAAGACAUUAAAAAAAAUUUUUUUUUAACAUUUAUUCAUCUUUGAGAGACAGAACACGAGCAGGGGAGGGGAAGAGAGAGAGGGAGACACAGAAUCUGAAGCAGGCUCCAGGCUCUGAGCUGUCAGCACGGCAACAUCAUGACCUGAGCUUAACUGACUGAGCCACCCAGGCACCCCUUACUUAUUGGGCUUUAAGAGCCCAUCCUGGGACAUCGCAAUCCCAGACCUGUGGAUUUACUUCCUUCCAGAUAUUAGAAGGGAUGUCAGGGUAAGGUUUUAGCUCUCCGGGUGUUAAAGAGUACAAGCCGUCCCCUUCUUUUGUAAGAACAAACCUGCUUCCCAGGUUAUACGUUAAGUCUCAUCCAAGUAAUGGCAUGGGACAAGAUGGAAGGAUUAGAAAAACAUGAGUAACUGAUUGACUUUGAUAUUUACAGGUCAAAGGCAUUGUCUGACAGCACGAUUUAGUUUCCCUUUCUAUGCCAACAAUUUCAUGGUUAGAAAGACAAGUAGGGCCAGAGUCCUGAGUAAGAACAGAGUGAGUGGCUCCUGUAUCGAUAAGAAAGUUGGCAAACUCACCUUCCACAUCCAGGGUAACCCGGGGCUCUGAUGUCAAAGGGAGUGGGACCAGCCUCAGGGCCACCACCACGUCAUGCUGGACCCCAGGCUCUUCCUCUCCAGAAGGGAAGUGAGUUCCUGUCCUCCCCUCUCUCUGGAGAUGAGGACAGUCUCUCUUCCAAAGUCCUUUUUUCUCACAGACAGGACAUGGUCCUGGGGAAAGCAUUUUUUCGGACAUUCUUUUCUUUGAUGUCCAAUUUGGCCACACCCAUAGCAUGGGGCCUUACCUGAUCCUUGGUGUGAUCCUGGCUUUUUCUUCAGCCCCUGGUGAGUCUGGUGUUGUGGGGGAAUCCACAAUAGUGGCAGCCAAUACUUGAGCCCAUAUUUUACCCUGCAAUUUAGCUCUCCAGUCCUUUUCUUGUUUUAAGACCACAUCUCUAUCAUUAAAGACUCCGGUCACUACUUCUACUAGGCACUGCGUUGGGGGUUGAGGGCCUACAGCCAUUUUAGUCAGUUUUUGGCGGAUGUCAGGUGCUUCUAAAAUGCACCUGUUACUUAUAAAAUGCAUGCUUAGUAUAGUUUCCCUUCAGGUGAGGUUGGGUCCAGACCCUGAAAUAGAGCUGGAUUGUCAUCAGUUACUUGACUAACUUCCUGAAUUUUACCAAAGUUUACAGGUUUAGAGAAUUUUUUUUUCCAUCCCUUCUAUUAAACAAGUGAUCCUAUGACCUCAUCUCUCCCGUCCCUGUCUAGCCUCUUGGUAAUUCCAGUGUGGUUCAGUAUUUGGGACAGCAGCGCCCCCUACAGGAUAGCCUUUCCUAUCUCUUGUUGACAGAUUAUCCGUGAACUUGAGCCCCUGCACAGAUAUGGUUCUUCUCCUCAGGAGUGCAACAAUGAGUUAUUAUGUUAUAUAUAUUGCCAGAUCAAAUCAAACAUAAUAGAUAAUUGUUGAAAGCCCUCAAUAAAUUGAGAAGGGUUUUCAGAAUAUCAUCCUAAUUGUUGUUUUAUCUGAGCUGGUUCUGCCAUGGAGAAUAGGAUGAGGACUCUGAUUGUGCCAUGUGUUUCUCCAUUAGCAACCUCCCUAAGAGGUUGCAUUCCAAACUUAGGUGGGAUUCCUGGAAGAUACGGCGUCCUGCUCCUGAUGUGUCCAUCUGGGCUGGGAGCAGAGGGGUCUUGGGGUUUAUAAGGAGGAGGGACAGCAACAGAGCCAGUGUCCUCUUUGUCUGGACUGGCCAGUGAUUCCUCCAGUAGGAGGAAGGGACCUAUUUAAAAAAAAUUUUUUUUCAACAUUUAUUUAUUUUUUGGGACAGAGAGAGACAGAGCAUGAAUGGGGGAGGGGCAGAGAGAGAGGGAGACACAGAA